GAAGAUGGAGAGCCAAGGAAGAAGAAAUGAGAGCUCCCGCUGCCCAAAAUCAGCUCCUACAGCUCCAAAAAGGUGUUUUCAAGCUUAAGCUGCCAAGAAGAUGACACCCUCGUUGCAUGUGAGCCUUUUAUAAGUUUAGGGUGCCAAGUCAGCAAAAUGUCACGCCCAACCCCCUUUUCUGGGGUGCUCGGGCGCCAAUAUUAAAUGAAAACAUAGCAUCAAAGGGUGUCCAGCCCCCUUCAGGAGCGCCUAGGCGCCAUAUUAUGAGGUGAAACAAUAUGAAAGGGCGUCUAACCCCCUUCUGGGUGCCCAAGCACCAAGUUCUGGCUGGAUAUGCGAAGCAAAGGGCGCUCAACCCCCUUUUGGGGGGUCCGGGCCUGAUUUUUCUGCACUGC
rnacentral:lncRNA from 1 species